CUGGCCGGGAUGUCCUUGUCCCAUCACGCUCGAGCGACUCCUCGCAGUGGCAUGCACACUGACACAGUCGCCAGUUGUACGGUGUUUCCUCCGACACAAUGGUGUGGCUGGCUUCCAGGUUAUGCGAGCAGUGCGGCUUGGCUGUGUCGCGUUUCAGAGGAUGCAUGGCUCUCUACCAAUUGGAUACCAUGAAAAAGGGAUGGAACCCAACAGGCACAAAAUGUACUUGGCAGCAACUGAAGAUGAAAUAUGAAAAUAUACUUCAAACAGCCAAUAGAAAAAGUCUGAGGAUCAAAAAACAGGUGGGGGUCCACCACAACUCAGAGGCUGAAGAGAUAGCCCUCAGUCAAAAUAGUGGGUGACCUAUUGCUGAAAGCAUCUCUGGAGGAAGCUCAUCUGACCCAACUACCCCCCCACCCCCACCCCAGGACACAAGGGCCUACAUAACAGGUUAGUUAUUGAAAUUAAUGAUACAUGUACAUUCAUCCUUUUGCCAGUAUUACCUCAGUGAUGCCCACCCAUUGAUCUUAGACACAACUUGGCACACUGAUUUUCUUGU